rnacentral:rRNA from 1 species
AUUGAACGCUGGCGGCAGGCCUAACACAUGCAAGUCGAGCGAGCGGCGGACGGGUGAGUAAUGUCUGGGAAACUGCCUGAUGGAGGGGGAUAACUACUGGAAACGGUAGCUAAUACCGCAUACCAUCAGAUGUGCCCAGAUGGGAUUAGCUGGUAGGUGGGGUAACGGCUCACCUGGGCGACGAGCCCUAGCUGGUCUGGGAGGAGGACCAGCCACACUGGACUGGAGCACCGGUCCAGAUUCCUACGGGAGGCAGCAGGGGGGAAGUGCUGACAAUGGGGGCAAUCCUGAUGCAGCCAUGCCGCGUGGGUGAAAAAGGCCUUCGGGUUGUAAAGCACUUUCAGCGGGGAGGCGUUACCCGCAGAAGAAGCACCGGCUAACUCCGUGCCAGCAGCCGCGGUAAUAC